rnacentral:tRNA from 1 species
GGCAGAGUGGCCGAGUGGUUAAGGCGUUUGACUUGAAAUCAAAUUCCCUCGUGGAGCGCAGGUUCGAGUCCUGUCUCUGUCG